GGGGGGUUUCCCGAGUGGUCAAAGGGGUCAGACUGUAAAUCUGAUGGCAGUGCCUUCGCAGGUUCAAAUCCUGCACCCCCCA
rnacentral:tRNA from 1 species